rnacentral:rRNA from 1 species
UACGUAGGCAGCAAGCGUUGUUCGGAAUUACUGGGCGUAAAGAGUGUGUAGGCGGUGCUCUAAGUCUGUCGUGAAAUCUCCCGGCUUAACUGGGGGGGUGCGGCGGAAACUGGAAUGCUAGAGGGUGGGAGAGGAAAGCGGAAUUCCUGAUGUAGCGGUGAAAUGCGUAGAUAUCAGGAGGAACACCUGCGGUGUAGACAGCUUCUGGACCACUUCUGACGCUGAGACACGAAAGCGUGGGUAGCAAACAGG